rnacentral:rRNA from 1 species
GAUGAACGCUGGCGGCGUGCUUAACACAUGCAAGUCGAACGAAGCAUUUAGAACGGAUUAUUUCGGUAUGAAGUUCUUUAUGACUGAGUGGCGGACGGGUGAGUAACGCGUGGGUAACCUGCCUUGUACUGGGGGAUAGCAGCUGGAAACGGCUGGUAAUACCGCAUAAGCGCACAAUGUUGCAUGACAUGGUGUGAAAAACUCAGGUGGUAUAAGAUGGACCCGCGUCUGAUUAGCUAGUUGGUGAGAUAACAGCCCACCAAGGCGACGAUCAGUAGCCGACCUGAGAGGGUGACCGGCCACAUUGGGACUGAGACACGGCCCAGACUCCUACGGGAGGCAGCAGUGGGGAAUAUUGCACAAUGGAGGAAACUCUGAUGCAGCGACGCCGCGUGAGUGAAGAAGUAAUUCGUUAUGUAAAGCUCUAUCAGCAGGGAAGAUAGUGACGGUACCUGACUAAGAAGCUCCGGCUAAAUACGUGCCAGCCGCCGCAGUAA